UACGGUUACCUUGUUACGACUUAGCGCCAGUCACCAGUUUUACCUUCGGAAGUGCCCUCCCUUGCGGGUUAAGCAACCUCCUUCGGGUACCCCCGGCUUCCAUCGCUUGACGGGCGGUGUGUACAAGGCCCGGGAACGUAUUCACGGCAGCGUAGCUGAUCCGCCGUUACUAGCGAUUCCGACUUCAUGGAGGCGAAUUGCAGCCUCCAAUCCGAACUGGGGCGCGCUUUCUGGGAUUUGCUCCCCCUCACGGGUUGGCAUACCCCUCUGUACGCGCCAUUGUAACACGUGUGUAGCCCUAGGCAUAAGGAGCGUACUGACUUGACGUCAUCCACACCUUCCUCCAGCUUAUCGCCGGCAGUCUCUGCUGAGUGCGCCGGGACCUUACGAUCCCGGGUGGCAACAGCAGACGUGGGUUGCGCUCGUUGCGGGACUUAACCCAACACUUCACAGCACGAGCUGACGACAGCCAUGCACCACCUGUGCUAGCUCUCGAUUUAACGAGUCCAUCCCCUUUCGGUUCAGUACUUCUAGCAUGUCAAGCCUAGGUAAGGUUCUUCGCGUAGCGUCGAAUUAAACCACAUGUUCCACCGCUUGUGCGGGCCCCCGUCAAUUCCUUUGAGUUUCAUCCUUGCGGACGUACUCCCCA
rnacentral:rRNA from 1 species